rnacentral:rRNA from 1 species
UACGUAGGGACCAAGCGUUGUUCGGAUUUACUGGGCGUAAAGGGCGCGUAGGCGGCUUAACAAGUCACUUGUGAAAUCUCCGGGCUUAACUCGGAACGGCCAAGUGAAACUGUCAAGCUAGAGUGCAGAAGGGGCAAUCGGAAUUCUUGGUGUAGCGGUGAAAUGCGUAGAUAUCAAGAGGAACACCUGAGGUGAAGACGGGUUGCUGGGCUGACACUGACGCUGAGGAGCGAAAGCGUGGGGAGCAAACAGG